AGCACUAUAUUUAAACCUAUGGAUGGGAAUUUUCCCCAUUCUUGGUUACGCUGUAGUGCAAAAGAAUUCCUUGGCUCUUAUCCCUUGCACAGCUGACUAUGUGACAUUCUGCUGUUGCUCUUUGGAGUUAAGGAACACCA